AUUGAACGCUGGCGGCAGGCUUAACACAUGCAAGUCGAGCGGAGAUGAGGUGCUUGCACCUUAUCUUAGCGGCGGACGGGUGAGUAAUGCUUAGGAAUCUGCCUAUUAGUGGGGGACAACAUUCCGAAAGGAAUGCUAAUACCGCAUACGUCCUACGGGAGAAAGCAGGGGAUCUUCGGACCUUGCGCUAAUAGAUGAGCCUAAGUCGGAUUAGCUAGUUGGUGGGGUAAAGGCCUACCAAGGCGACGAUCUGUAGCGGGUCUGAGAGGAUGAGCCGCCACACUGGGACGGAGACACGGCCCAGACUCCUCCGGGAGGCAGCAGUGGGGAAUAUUGGACAAUGGGGGGAACCCUGAUCCAGCCAUGCCGCGUGUGUGAAGAAGGCCUUAUGGUUGUAAAGCACUUUAAGCGAGGAGGAGGCUGCUGAGACUAAUACUCUUGGAUAGUGGACGUUACUCGCAGAAUAAGCACCGGCUAACUCUGUGCCAGCAGCCGCCGUAAGAC
rnacentral:rRNA from 1 species